UGACUGGAGAGGUUCCUAUAAGGUGUCAGGAUGUCGCUGUCUAUUUCUCCAUGGAGGAGUGGGAGUAUUUAGAAGGACACAAGGGUCUGUACAAGGAGGUCAAGAUGGAGGAGGACCAGCCCCUCACAUCUCCAGAGAGAUCCAGUCAGAGGACAACACCAGAGAGAUGUCCGCGUCCUCUUCUUCCACAGGACGGUCAGGUAAUGGAGAU